GUGGCUUCCCUCUGGGGCGGCCACACAGGCAUGGCCGUGGGGCUGGCGACGGGUGCUUAGCAACUCUGACCACCUGCCUGCUGAGGAGCCAGAGCCCUCAGCCAGACCCUGUGCCCCCAGCUGGCCUCACAUGCAUGGAAUGGUGCUGUGCCCCUUGCCAGCAGGCCAGGCUCGCCAUGGUGCCAGGUGCCAUCCUGGCGCGGGGGAGGGACGUGUGCAGGCGGAACGGACUGCUCAUCCUGUCUGUGCUGUCUGUCAUCGUGGGCUGCCUUCUCGGCUUCUUCCUGAGGACCCGGCGCCUCUCACCACAGGAAAUUAGUUACUUCCAGUUCCCUGGAGAGCUUUUGAUGAGGAUGCUGAAGAUGCUGAUUCUACCGCUGGUGGUCUCCAGCUUGAUGUCUGGCCUCGCCUCUCUGGAUGCCAAGACCUCCAGCCGCCUGGGCAUCCUCACCGUGGCAUACUACCUAUGGACCACCUUCAUGGCUGUCAUCGUGGGCAUCUUCAUGGUCUCCAUCAUCCAUCCGGGUGGCGCGGCCCAGAAGGAGACCACAGAGCAAAGCGGGAAGCCCAUCAUGAGCUCGGCCGACGCUCUGCUGGACCUCAUUCGGAACAUGUUCCCAGCCAACCUGGUGGAAGCCACGUUCAAACAGUACCGCACCAAGACCACCCCAGUCAUCAAGUCCCCCAAGGUGGUGGUGGAGGAGGCCCCUCCUCGGCGGAUCCUCAUCUACGGGGUCCAGGAGGAGAACGGUUCUCGAGUGCAGAACUUCGCCCUGGACCUGACCCCGCCGCCCGAGGUCGUCUACAAGUCAGAGCCUGGCACCAGCGAGGGCAUGAACGUGCUGGGCAUCGUCUUCUUCUCCGCCACCAUGGGCAUCAUGCUGGGCCGCAUGGGUGACAGCGGGGCCCCCCUGGUCAGCUUCUGCCAGUGCCUCAACGAGUCUGUCAUGAAGAUCGUGGCGGUGGCCGUGUGGUACUUCCCCUUCGGCAUCGUGUUCCUCAUCGCUGGCAAGAUCCUGGAGAUGGACGACCCCAGGGCCGUGGGCAAGAAGCUGGGCUUCUACGCGGUCACGGUGGUGUGCGGCCUCGUGCUCCACGGGCUCUUCAUCCUGCCUCUGCUCUACUUCUUCAUUACCAAGAAGAACCCCGUCGUCUUCAUCCGUGGCGUCCUGCAGGCCCUGCUCAUCGCGCUGGCCACCUCCUCCAGGAAGAGUCUCAUGAGGGCACAGCACGGUGCCUGGCACAUAGUAGGUGCCCUGCCAGGGUCACCCCCUUCCUGCCCAGAGCCACCCGCAUGGGUGCAUGCAUGCACCCCUGCCGGGGGAGCUGCCGGGGUGGGGUGAGCGUCCUGCCGGUGGCCCUGCCAUCCUGAAGGAGGGUGCUGGGCAGACACUGGCCCCUCUGCCCGUAGCUCAGCCACCCUGCCCAUCACCUUCAAGUGCCUGCUAGAGAACAACCACAUAGACCGGCGCAUCGCACGCUUUGUGCUGCCUGUGGGCGCCACCAUCAACAUGGACGGCACCGCGCUCUACGAGGCUGUGGCCGCCAUCUUCAUUGCCCAGGUCAACAACUAUGAGCUGGACUUCGGCCAGAUCAUCACCAUCAGCAUCACAGCCACCGCGGCCAGCAUUGGGGCCGCUGGCAUCCCCCAGGCCGGACUCGUCACCAUGGUCAUCGUGCUCACCUCCGUGGGACUGCCCACCGACGACAUCACCCUCAUCAUCGCCGUCGACUGGGCUCUGGACCGUUUCCGUACCAUGAUUAAUGUACUCGGUGACGCGCUGGCUGCAGGGAUCAUGGCCCACAUCUGCCGGAAGGACUUUGCUCGGGACACGGCCGCCGAGAAGCUGCCACCCUGCGAGACCAAGCCAGUGAGCCUCCAGGAGAUCGUGGCGACCCAGCAGAACGGCUGCGUGAAGAGUGUGGCCGAGGCCUCGGAGCUGACCCUGGGCCCCGCCUGUCCCCACCACGUCCCAGUGCAAGUGGAGCAGGACGAGGAGCCGGCCGCCGCCAGCCUGGACCACUGUACCAUUGAAAUCAGCGAGCUCGAGACCAACGUCUGAGCUGUGAAGCUGCAGGGGCGGGCGA